GGUUAAGCGACUAAGCGUACACGGUGGAUGCCCUGGCAGUCAGAGGCGAUGAAGGACGUGCUAAUCUGCGAUAAGCGUCGGUGAGGUGAUAUGAACCGUUAUAACCGGCGAUUUCCGAAUGGGGAAACCCAGUGUGAUUCGUCACACUAUCAUUAACUGAAUCCAUAGGUUAAUGAGGCGAACCGGGGGAACUGAAACAUCUAAGUACCCCGAGGAAAAGAAAUCAACCGAGAUUCCCCCAGUAGCGGCGAGCGAACGGGGAGGAGCCCAGAGCCUGAAUCAGUGUGUGUGUUAGUGGAAGCGUCUGGAAAGGCGCGCGAUACAGGGUGACAGCCCCGUACACAAAAAUGCACAUAUUGUGAGCUCGAUGAGUAGGGCGGGACACGUGGUAUCCUGUCUGAAUAUGGGGGGACCAUCCUCCAAGGCUAAAUACUCCUGACUGACCGAUAGUGAACCAGUACCGUGAGGGAAAGGCGAAAAGAACCCCGGCGAGGGGAGUGAAAAAGAACCUGAAACCGUGUACGUACAAGCAGUGGGAGCCUCUUAAUGGGGUGACUGCGUACCUUUUGUAUAAUGGGUCAGCGACUUAUAUUCUGUAGCAAGGUUAACCGAAUAGGGGAGCCGAAGGGAAACCGAGUCUUAACUGGGCGUUAAGUUGCAGGGUAUAGACCCGAAACCCGGUGAUCUAGCCAUGGGCAGGUUGAAGGUUGGGUAACACUAACUGGAGGACCGAACCGACUAAUGUUGAAAAAUUAGCGGAUGACUUGUGGCUGGGGGUGAAAGGCCAAUCAAACCGGGAGAUAGCUGGUUCUCCCCGAAAGCUAUUUAGGUAGCGCCUCGUGAAUUCAUCUCCGGGGGUAGAGCACUGUUUCGGCAAGGGGGUCAUCCCGACUUACCAACCCGAUGCAAACUGCGAAUACCGGAGAAUGUUAUCACGGGAGACACACGGCGGGUGCUAACGUCCGUCGUGAAGAGGGAAACAACCCAGACCGCCAGCUAAGGUCCCAAAGUCAUGGUUAAGUGGGAAACGAUGUGGGAAGGCCCAGACAGCCAGGAUGUUGGCUUAGAAGCAGCCAUCAUUUAAAGAAAGCGUAAUAGCUCACUGGUCGAGUCGGCCUGCGCGGAAGAUGUAACGGGGCUAAACCAUGCACCGAAGCUGCGGCAGCGACACUAUGUGUUGUUGGGUAGGGGAGCGUUCUGUAAGCCUGUGAAGGUGGCCUGUGAGGGUUGCUGGAGGUAUCAGAAGUGCGAAUGCUGACAUAAGUAACGAUAAAGCGGGUGAAAAGCCCGCUCGCCGGAAGACCAAGGGUUCCUGUCCAACGUUAAUCGGGGCAGGGUGAGUCGACCCCUAAGGCGAGGCCGAAAGGCGUAGUCGAUGGGAAACAGGUUAAUAUUCCUGUACUUGGUGUUACUGCGAAGGGGGGACGGAGAAGGCUAUGUUGGCCGGGCGACGGUUGUCCCGGUUUAAGCGUGUAGGCUGGUUUUCCAGGCAAAUCCGGAAAAUCAAGGCUGAGGCGUGAUGACGAGGCACUACGGUGCUGAAGCGACAAAUGCCCUGCUUCCAGGAAAAGCCUCUAAGCAUCAGGUAACAUCAAAUCGUACCCCAAACCGACACAGGUGGUCAGGUAGAGAAUACCAAGGCGCUUGAGAGAACUCGGGUGAAGGAACUAGGCAAAAUGGUGCCGUAACUUCGGGAGAAGGCACGCUGAUAUGUAGGUGAAGCGACUUGCUCGUGGAGCUGAAAUCAGUCGAAGAUACCAGCUGGCUGCAACUGUUUAUUAAAAACACAGCACUGUGCAAACACGAAAGUGGACGUAUACGGUGUGACGCCUGCCCGGUGCCGGAAGGUUAAUUGAUGGGGUUAGCGGUAACGCGAAGCUCUUGAUCGAAGCCCCGGUAAACGGCGGCCGUAACUAUAACGGUCCUAAGGUAGCGAAAUUCCUUGUCGGGUAAGUUCCGACCUGCACGAAUGGCGUAAUGAUGGCCAGGCUGUCUCCACCCGAGACUCAGUGAAAUUGAACUCGCUGUGAAGAUGCAGUGUACCCGCGGCAAGACGGAAAGACCCCGUGAACCUUUACUAUAGCUUGACACUGAACAUUGAGCCUUGAUGUGUAGGAUAGGUGGGAGGCUUUGAAGUGUGGACGCCAGUCUGCAUGGAGCCGACCUUGAAAUACCACCCUUUAAUGUUUGAUGUUCUAACGUGGGCCCCUAAUCGGGGUUGCGGACAGUGUCUGGUGGGUAGUUUGACUGGGGCGGUCUCCUCCUAAAGAGUAACGGAGGAGCACGAAGGUUGGCUAAUCCUGGUCGGACAUCAGGAGGUUAGUGCAAUGGCAUAAGCCAGCUUGACUGCGAGCGUGACGGCGCGAGCAGGUGCGAAAGCAGGUCAUAGUGAUCCGGUGGUUCUGAAUGGAAGGGCCAUCGCUCAACGGAUAAAAGGUACUCCGGGGAUAACAGGCUGAUACCGCCCAAGAGUUCAUAUCGACGGCGGUGUUUGGCACCUCGAUGUCGGCUCAUCACAUCCUGGGGCUGAAGUAGGUCCCAAGGGUAUGGCUGUUCGCCAUUUAAAGUGGUACGCGAGCUGGGUUUAGAACGUCGUGAGACAGUUCGGUCCCUAUCUGCCGUGGGCGCUGGAGAACUGAGGGGGGCUGCUCCUAGUACGAGAGGACCGGAGUGGACGCAUCACUGGUGUUCGGGUUGUCAUGCCAAUGGCACUGCCCGGUAGCUAAAUGCGGAAGAGAUAAGUGCUGAAAGCAUCUAAGCACGAAACUUGCCCCGAGAUGAGUUCUCCCUGACUCCUUGAGAGUCCUGAAGGAACGUUGAAGACGACGACGUUGAUAGGCCGGGUGUGUAAGCGCAGCGAUGCGUUGAGCUAACCGGUACUAAUGAACCGUGAGGCUUAACCUU
rnacentral:rRNA from 1 species